AUGGAAUGUUCAGUUGGAGGUCAUUCAGGUGAAGAUGUGUGACUGUAGAACAGUGUCCUUUACUUGAGGAUUAAAUAUAUAUAUAAAAUAUGAAUAUUGUUUUCCUCUUUGGAAAUGUUUGUCUUACCCAGUUCCCCCAGAGCAGUAGGCCAGCUAAGUCCAUUUACCUAGAGCAAUCUGAGAGAGGCUGAACUCCACAGGGGACAUACUCACACAGAAGGUUUGGACAUGCCAGCUAUGAUGGUGAAGGACUGUACUGUCUGUAAAUGGAACUGGAGUAGAUGUUGUAUGGAUGAGAAGAAUGUAAAAACAACACUACAACACAAAAAUGGAGUACCAAUGACUUUCAAAAAGAUGUUACAAAGUGACAAAAAAAGAAAAUAAGCAUUUUUUCACAAUACCCGUCAAUACCUAAAAAGGAAUAAAAACGAGAGAUGAGCAACAUGGAGGAGGAGGAAAAAUAAAGACAAAACAAGUGUUCCAAAGAGGAACUUCACCUUUUCAGCAAGAAAAUAGACAAACUGCCUCUCUUCUAAAACUUUCAAUUUGUGUACACACUUUUGGGACUAUUUCUGUUGUGAUUUCAUCAAUACUGUUGUUAUAUGGCGUUCACAUGAUCUUGUCCAGCUUUUUUUUUUUAUGUGUGUGUGUGUGUGUGUGUGGAAGGGAAACCCUUUAAGGGACAGUCCAAGAUGGCUGAACUUAACAGACAACAGAACAAAAAGGGAGGCAGUGUAUUUACACUUAUGUUAUGUAUUUUCUUAUCAUAAUCCACCUCUGUAUAAUUAUUUUUAAUCGUCAUUAUUAUUUGCUAUCAGUAUUCUACUCCUAAAUCCUAAUGGAAGAAUAUCAAACUAAGCUGCAUUGUCUUCACCGCGACCAUGAGGGGACUUGGCAGUGAAUCCAAACAUGACCGUUCACUCAUCAGGACCUCUCAUCAUUCCUGAAGGACAGGGGAAACUGAACGACAUCAUUUGGAAUGUCAGGGUUGAGUUGCCACAGAGACAUAAUUGCCUUGGAGAAUGGACAUCUAUUGCCUUUCGGAAGUGUGUCUGUGUGUACGAGUGGUUUUGUGAGUUGUGUUGAGUGUGUGUGUGUGUCCGUGUCCAUUUUUUGGGGUCCUUUGCAAAGUGUUCUUAUUUUUCAUCCUUACAAUUUUUACAGCACAGAAAGUGUACAUGAAAAUGAAAUGGACAUAUUAUUUUUCAGAAAGAGGAGAAAAAAACAGACACUUCUGGUGAAAAAGGAUACUGGAUCCUAGGGGUGCGCAGGUGACUUCAUUGAUGUUGUGCAUUUCCGACAUCAUUGACCACAGUUGGUGAAACAUGAUGAGGCUAAAACAUCACUGCGGGAUUUUGUGUAGAGGAGGGGUUUGGAGUUGGUUUCACAGAAGCUUUUUUUGUGUUAGUUUUGUUUUGGAAGGUGCCGAGACAUUGCAGCAUGGGCCGGAUUCCCCUGCCUUUGCUCAAAGUUGAAGUGUCACAAAAUCAAAAGGGGUGGGUGUAACUGCUGUCCAGUGUUGGACAGAAAGAGACAUAUAUCCACAAGGAAAAAAACAGUGUUGCCAUAAGCUUAAAAGUCAAAUUCCCACAUGGUAUUACUAUCUUUAUCAUUUUUUAUUAUUAUUCUUGUAAAAAAAACACAAACACCAAGAAUGACC
ensembl:lncRNA